rnacentral:rRNA from 1 species
AUGACAAUAAACAAGAGCCAAGGUCAGUCCUUAAACAAGGUAGGCAUAUAUUUGCCUAAGCAAGUGUUCUGCCAUGGACAACUAUAUGUGGCACUAUCAAGAGUGACAAACAAGGAAGGAUUGAAGGUGUUGAUCGAUGACGAAGAGUGUCCAACCGAAGAUGUCACAAUGAAUAUUGUUUACAAAGAGAUUUUUUAA